ACGCUAGCGGCAGGCCUAAUACAUGCAAGUCGAACGAUAUCAGAGAGCUUGCUUUCUGGGAAAGUGGCGCACGGGUGCGUAACGCGUAUGCAACCUACCUUUAUCAGGGGGAUAGCCUCUCGAAAGAGAGAUUAACACCGCAUAAAAUCAAAGAACGGCAUCGUUUAAUGAUCAAAUAUUUAUAGGAUAAAGAUGGGCAUGCGUGACAUUAGCUAGUUGGUGAGGUAACGGCUCACCAAGGCGACGAUGUCUAGGGGAUCUGAGAGGAUGACCCCCCACACUGGUACUGAGACACGGACCAGACUCCUACGGGAGGCAGCAGUAAGGAAUAUUGGUCAAUGGAGGCAACUCUGAACCAGCCAUGCCGCGUGCAGGAAGACGGCCCUAUGGGUUGUAAACUGCUUUUAUUCGGGAAUAAACCCUUUUACGUGUAAGAGGUUGAAUGUACCGAAAGAAUAAGGAUCGGCUAACUCCGUGCCAGCAGCCGCGGUAAUACGGAGGAUCCAAGCGUUAUCCGGAUUUAUUGGGUUUAAAGGGUGCGUAGGCGGCUUAUUAAGUCAGGGGUGAAAGACGGUGGCUCAACCAUCGCAGUGCCUUUGAUACUGAUGAGCUUGAAUACACUUGAGGUAGGCGGAAUGUGACAAGUAGCGGUGAAAUGCAUAGAUAUGUCACAGAACACCAAUUGCGAAGGCAGCUUACUAAGGUGCAAUUGACGCUGAGGCACGAAAGCGUGGGGAUCAAACAGGAUUAGAUACCCUGGUAGUCCACGCCCUAAACGAUGAAUACUCGAUGUUAGCGAUAUACAGUUAGCGUCUAAGCGAAAGCGUUA
rnacentral:rRNA from 1 species